rnacentral:rRNA from 1 species
GGGUCAGUAGGUUGGUCGUGCCACCGGUACGUACUGGUCUCACUGAUACCUCCUUCCUGAAGAACCGUAAUGCCAUUAAUUUGGUGUUGCGGGGAAACAGGACUGUUACUUUGAAAAAAUUAGAGUGUUUAAAGCAAGCUAACGCUUGAAUACAUUAGCAUGGAAUAAUGAAAUAGGACGAUCGAUCCUAUUUUGCUGGUUUCUAGGAUUGACGUA